CCUUCAAGAAUGACCAUGAUUCUCAAGCACCAAUUCUCACUUCUGGCAGCGGGUAUGAUGACUGGUGAUUGCUCCAGUUACUCUUAUUGACAUCACUAUUAUCACAAUUAUUAUUAUUGGUGAUGCUAUUGACGGCGUGAUAAACAUUACUUUGAUUUCCUUUCAUUAUCGUCGUCUUUUUCACCAUUAUCAUCUUCACUACUGCUUAUAGUAAUGGUAAAGUCCUAGUCGUAGAAGGUGUAGGAGUAAGUGUACUAUGAAUACUGCCUCAUUAUCAUCCAACAUUUUUGGAUUAAAUCAGUGAAUGAAAAUGUUAUUCGUAUCGAUUAGUACCAUUAGUAAUUGAUAUCUCCUUUUCAUGAAGUGUACUCAGAUUUAAACUAAAAGAAGAGUUACCAUCAUCUUGUGCAUCGACUUGGAGAGCCGACACGCAGACAAACAAUCCAAAUAGCGCUCCUGAAAAAAGGGAUUCUUGUGGCGAUGAUGGUCCUCUGUUUGGUGGUUCUCCACGCCAGCGCUGACGAAGACGGUCCGAAUUGCACGAAACGUCACCAAAUAAGCGAAUAUGAUCUUCGGCAUCUUUAAAG